AGACCCGAAACCCGGUGAUCUAGCCAUGGGCAGGUUGAAGGUUGGGUAACACUAACUGGAGGACCGAACCGACUAAUGUUGAAAAAUUAGCGGAUGACCUGUGGCUGGGGGUGAAAGGCCAAUCAAACCGGGAGAUAGCUGGUUCUCCCCGAAAGCUAUUUAGGUAGCGCCUCGUGAAUUCAUCUCCGGGGGUAGAGCACUGUUUCGGCUAGGGGGCCAUCCCGGCUUACCAACCCGAUGCAAACUGCGAAUACCGGAGAAUGUUAUCACGGGAGACACACGGCGGGUGCUAACGUCCGUCGUGAAGAGGGAAACAACCCAGACCGCCAGCUAAGGUCCCAAAGUCAUGGUUAAGUGGGAAACGAUGUGGGAAGGCCCAGACAGCCAGGAUGUUGGCUUAGAAGCAGCCAUCAUUUAAAGAAAGCGUAAUAGCUCACUGGUCGAGUCGGCCUGCGCGGAAGAUGUAACGGGGCUAAACCAUGCACCGAAGCUGCGGCAGCGACACUGUGUGUUGUUGGGUAGGGGAGCGUUCUGUAAGCCUGUGAAGGUGUGUCGUGAGGCAUGCUGGAGGUAUCAGAAGUGCGAAUGCUGACAUAAGUAACGAUAAAGCGGGUGAAAAGCCCGCUCGCCGGAAGACCAAGGGUUCCUGUCCAACGUUAAUCGGGGCAGGGUGAGUCGACCCCUAAGGCGAGGCCGAAAGGCGUAGUCGAUGGGAAACGGGUUAAUAUUCCCGUACUUGGUGUUACUGCGAAGGGGGGACGGAGAAGGCUAUGUUGGCCGGGCGACGGUUGUCCCGGUUUAAGCGUGUAGGUGUGUGUUCCAGGUAAAUCCGGUUCACUUUAACACUGAGGCGUGAUGACGAGGCACUACGGUGCUGAAGCAACAAAUGCCCUGCUUCCAGGAAAAGCCUCUAAGCAUCAGGUAACAUCAAAUCGUACCCCAAACCGACACAGGUGGUCAGGUAGAGAAUACCAAGGCGCUUGAGAGAACUCGGGUGAAGGAACUAGGCAAAAUGGUGCCGUAACUUCGGGAGAAGGCACGCUGACACGUAGGUGAAGUGAUUUACUCAUGGAGCUGAAGUCAGUCGAAGAUACCAGCUGGCUGCAACUGUUUAUUAAAAACACAGCACUGUGCAAACACGAAAGUGGACGUAUACGGUGUGACGCCUGCCCGGUGCCGGAAGGUUAAUUGAUGGGGUCAGCGCAAGCGAAGCUCCUGAUCGAAGCCCCGGUAAACGGCGGCCGUAACUAUAACGGUCCUAAGGUAGCGAAAUUCCUUGUCGGGUAAGUUCCGACCUGCACGAAUGGCGUAAUGAUGGCCAGGCUGUCUCCACCCGAGACUCAGUGAAAUUGAACUCGCUGUGAAGAUGCAGUGUACCCGCGGCAAGACGGAAAGACCCCGUGAACCUUUACUAUAGCUUGACACUGAACAUUGAGCCUUGAUGUGUAGGAUAGGUGGGAGGCUUUGAAGCGUGGACGCCAGUCUGCGUGGAGCCGACCUUGAAAUACCACCCUUUAAUGUUUGAUGUUCUAACGUGGACCCGUAAUCCGGGUUGCGGACAGUGUCUGGUGGGUAGUUUGACUGGGGCGGUCUCCUCCUAAAGAGUAACGGAGGAGCACGAAGGUUGGCUAAUCCUGGUCGGACAUCAGGAGGUUAGUGCAAUGGCAUAAGCCAGCUUGACUGCGAGCGUGACGGCGCGAGCAGGUGCGAAAGCAGGUCAUAGUGAUCCGGUGGUUCUGAAUGGAAGGGCCAUCGCUCAACGGAUAAAAGGUACUCCGGGGAUAACAGGCUGAUACCGCCCAAGAGUUCAUAUCGACGGCGGUGUUUGGCACCUCGAUGUCGGCUCAUCACAUCCUGGGGCUGAAGUAGGUCCCAAGGGUAUGGCUGUUCGCCAUUUAAAGUGGUACGCGAGCUGGGUUUAGAACGUCGUGAGACAGUUCGGUCCCUAUCUGCCGUGGGCGCUGGAGAACUGAGGGGGGCUGCUCCUAGUACGAGAGGACCGGAGUGGACGCAUCACUGGUGUUCGGGUUGUCAUGCCAAUGGCACUGCCCGGUAGCUAAAUGCGGAAGAGAUAAGUGCUGAAAGCAUCUAAGCACGAAACUUGCCCCGAGAUGAGUUCUCCCUGAGACUUUAGGUCUCCUGAAGGAACGUUGAAGACGACGACGUUGAUAGGCCGGGUGUGUAAGCGCAGCGAUGCGUUGAGCUAACCGGUACUAAUGAACCGUGAGGCUUAACCUUACA
rnacentral:rRNA from 1 species